rnacentral:rRNA from 1 species
CCUACGGGUGGCUGCAGUGGGGAAUAUUGGACAAUGGGCGAAAGCCUGAUCCAGCCAUGCCGCGUGUGUGAAGACGGCCUUCGGGUUGUAAAGCACUUUCAGUGGGGACGAAAGCCUUGGGGCUAAUACCCUCGAGGAAGGACAUCACCCACAGAAGAAGCACCGGCUAACUCCGUGCCAGCAGCCGCGGUAAUACGGAGGGUGCGAGCGUUAAUCGGAAUUACUGGGCGUAAAGCGCGCGUAGGCGGUCUGAUAAGCCGGUUGUGAAAGCCCCGGGCUCAACCUGGGAACGGCAUCCGGAACGGUCAGGCUAGAGUGCAGGAGAGGAAGGUAGAAUUCCCGGUGUAGCGGUGAAAUGCGUAGAGAUCGGGAGGAAUACCAGUGGCGAAGGCGGCCUUCUGGACUGACACUGACGCUGAGGUGCGAAAGCGUGGGUAGCAAACAGGAUUAGAUACCCUGGUAGUC